rnacentral:misc_RNA from 1 species
GAUGAAGAACGCAGCGAAAUGCGAUAAGUAGUGUGAAUUGCAGAAUUCAGUGAAUCAUCGAAUCUUUGAACGCACAUUGCGCCCCUUGGUAUCCCGAGGGGCAUGCCUGUUCGAGCGUCAUUUCACCACUCAAGCCUGGCUUGGUGUUGGGCGACGUCCCCUUUGGGGACGCGCCUCGAAACGCUCGGCGGCGUGGCACCGGCUUUAAGCGUAGCAGAAUCUUUCGCUUUGGAAGUCGGGGCCCCGUCUGCCGGAAGACCUACUCGCAAGGUUGACCUCGGAUCAGGCAGGGAUACCCGCUGAACUUGAGCAUAUCAAUAAGCGGAGGA